rnacentral:rRNA from 1 species
UACAGAGGGUGCGAACGUUGCUCGGAUUUACUGGGCGUAAAAGCGCUUGUAGGCGGGCGAGUGUGUCGGGUGUGAAAUCCCUGAGCUUAACUCAGGAACUGCAUUCGAAACUACUUGUCUUGAGGAAUUGAGAGGAGAACGGAAUUCCCCGGUGUAGAGGUGAAAUUCGUAGAUAUCGGGAGGAACACCAGAUGCGAAGGCGGUUCUCUGGAAAUUUUCUGACGCUGAGAAGCGAAAGCGUGGGGAGCAAACAGG